UUAAGUUCAGCGGGUAUCCCUACCUGAUCCGAGGUCAACCGUAAGAGACAAUUAGGGGUUGUCUGGCAGGCACCGCCGGGCUUCCAGAGCGAGAGAUGUACUACGCUUGGAGCCCGCGACAGGCACCGCCACUGAUUUUAAGGCCGGCCACGACGGCCAGGCCCAAGACAAGCAGAGCUUGAGGGUUGAAAUGACGCUCG
rnacentral:misc_RNA from 1 species